GAUGAGGGCACCAGCAUCAUCGGAAGAGUCUCCUGGCUGGUGGCUGCCAGCUCUGUGAUGGCACGAAAUGUCAAUCACCUGCAGGGGCUGGACCUCUGCAGCGUGUCACUGAUUUGAGAGGGGUCGGGGGACGGCUCCGAGCAGGCUUUCUGGACGGAAGUUGCUAGGAGGAGCCCAGGGCAGGACAGGAGCUGGUAUGCCGUGCGAUUUCUGCAAGAAGGGCUCUGAGACGGACGUCUUUG
rnacentral:lncRNA from 1 species